GUAAGGAAUAUUGGACAAUGGACGCAAGUCUGAUCCAGCCAUGCCGCGUGAAGGAUUAAGGUCCUCUGGAUUGUAAACUUCUUUUAUAAGGGACGAAAAAAGGCUUUUCUAAGUCGUCUGACGGUACCUUAUGAAUAAGCACCGGCUAACUCCGUGCCAGCAGCCGCGGUAAUACGGAGGGUGCAAGCGUUAUCCGGAUUCACUGGGUUUAAAGGUUGCGUAGGCGGGCAGGUAAGUCAGUGGUGAAAUCCUAGAGCUUAACUCUAGAACUGCCAUUGAUACUAUCUGUCUUGAAUAUUGUGGAGGUAAGCGGAAUAUGUCAUGUAGCGGUGAAAUGCUUAGAUAUGACAUAGAACACCUAUUGCGAAGGCAGCUUACUACGCAUAUAUUGACGCUGAGGCACGAAAGCGUGGGGAUCAAACAGGAUUAGAAACCCCCUGUAGUCC
rnacentral:rRNA from 1 species